ACCGGCAGCUCAAGUGGUAGCCGCGAUUAUUGGGCCUAAAGCGUUCGUAGCCGGAUAAGUAAGUCUUUGGUUAAAUCCUGCAACUUAACUGUGGGAAAUCUAGGGAUACUGCUUGUCUUGAGACCGGGAGAGGUUAGAGGUACUCCUAGGGUAGGGGUGGAAUGCUUUGAGCUCAGAGGGACCACCUGUGGCGAAGGCGGCUACCUGGACCAGUACUGACGGUGAGGCACGAAACCGUGGGGAGCGAGCCG
rnacentral:rRNA from 1 species